rnacentral:rRNA from 1 species
GAAUAUUUGACAAUGGGGGGAACCCUGAUCCAGCCAUGCCGCGUGUGUGAAGAAGGCCUUUUGGUUGUAACACACUUUAUGCUAGGAGGUGGCUACUUAGUUUAAUACUCUCGGAUAGUGGACGUUACUCGCCGAACAAGACCCGGCUAACUCUUUGCCAGCCUCCGCGGUAAUACAGAUGGUGCAAGCGUUAAUCGGAUGUAAUGGGCGUAAAGGGGGUGUAGGUGGCCAAUUAGAUCAAAUGUGAGAUCUCCGAGCUUAACUGUGGAAUUGCAUUCGAUACUGGUUGGCUAGAGUAUGGGAGAGAAUGGUAGAAUUGCAAGUUGAGCGGUGAAAUGCGUAGCGAUCUGGAGGAAUACCGAUGGCAAAGGCAGCCAUCUGGCCUAAUACUGACACUGAGGUGCGAAAGCAUGGGGAGCAAAC